GUGCCUCGCAGUAUGAGGCCUGGCUUUCGCGGCCGGCUGAAGUAUUUUUUUCACCCAUGUCUUUUGCGCACUUGUUGUUUCCUGGGCGGGUUCGCCCGCCACCAGGACCAAACCAUAAACCUUUUUUUUCUUAUGCAGUUUCCAUCAGCGUCAGUAAAAACAAUGUAAUUAUUACAACUUUCAACAACGGAUCUCUUGGUUCUGGCAUCGAUGAAGAACGCAGCGAAAUGCGAUACGUAGUGUGAAUUGCAGAAUUCAGUGAAUCAUCGAAUCUUUGAACGCACAUUGCGCCCUUUGGUAUUCCAAAGGGCAUGCCUGUUCGAGCGUCAUUUGUACCUUCAAGCUUUGCUUGGUGUUGGGCGUUUUUUUGUCUCCCUCUUUCUGGGAGACUCGCCUUAAAACGAUUGGCAGCCGGCCUACUGGUUUCGGAGCGCAGCACAUUUUUUGCGCUUUGUAUCAGGAGAAAAGGACGGUACUCCAUCAAGACUCUACAUUUUUCACUUUUGACCUCGGAUCAGGUAGGGAUACCCGCUGAACUUAAGCAUAUCAAAAGCCGGGAGGAA
rnacentral:rRNA from 1 species